rnacentral:rRNA from 1 species
AUGUCCCGUUAUCGAGGACCUCGUUUAAAAAAAAUACGCCGUCUGGGAGCUUUACCAGGACUCACUAGAAAAACACCUAAAUCCGGAAGUAAUCUUAAAAAAAAAUUCAAUUCUGGGAAAAAGGAGCAAUAUCGUAUUCGUCUUCAAGAAAAACAGAAAUUGCGUUUUCAUUAUGGUCUGACAGAACGACAAUUACUUAGAUAUGUACAUAUCGCUGGAAAAGCAAAAAGGUCAACAGGCCAGGUUUUACUACAAUUACUUGAAAUGCGUUUGGAUAAUAUCCUUUUUCGAUUGGGUAUGGCUUCAACCAUUCCUGGGGCCCGCCAAUUAGUCAACCAUAGACAUAUUUUAGUUAAUGGUCGUAUAGUCAAUAUACCAAGUUUUCGUUGCAAACCCCGAGAUAUUAUUACUACGAAAGAUAACCAAAGAUCAAAAGGUCUGGUUCAAAAUUAUAUUGCUUCAUCGGACCCAGGUGUACGUGCGUGGGAUGAGCACGGACAGGAAGAAUUUGACCUAAAGGCGUUGCUGUUUGUGACCAUCAAUGAUUGGCCUGCUCUCAGAAGAAUGUGUACCUGGGACAUCGUCGAUUUCUUCCGAGCAGGCAUCCCGUAA